UGGGGAAUUUUGGACAAUGGGCGAAAGCCUGAUCCAGCCAUGCCGCGUGAGUGAAGGAGGCCUUCGGGUUGUAAAGCUCUUUUAGUCGGAAAGAAAGAGUUGCAAUGAAUAAUUGUGAUUUAUGACGGUACCGACAGAAAAAGCACCGGCUAACUACGUGCCAGCAGCCGCGGUAAUACGUAGGGUGCGAGCGUUAAUCGGAAUUACUGGGCGUAAAGGGUGCGCAGGCGGUCUUGCAAGUCAGAUGUGAAAGCCCCGGGCUUAACCUGGGAAUUGCGUUUGAAACUACAAGGCUAGAGUGCAGCAGAGGGGAGUGGAAUUCCAUGUGUAGCAGUGAAAUGCGUAGAGAUGUGGAAGAACACCGAUGGCGAAGGCAGCUCCCUGGGUUGACACUGACGCUCAUGCACGAAAGCGUGGGGAGCAAACA
rnacentral:rRNA from 1 species